AUGGGCGGCCUCCCUCGAGGAGGACUGCCGGACGCAAAGAAUCUACUCGUCUGGAACUGCCGGGGUGGGGGGAACCGUCGGACAGUUCGAGAGGUGUUGGCUCUCUCAAAAACCAACGUACCCCAGCUUGUCUUUCUUUUUGAGACUAGGCAGGCUGCAAAUAAGAUGGAGAAGUUAAAGUGGAGGUUUGGUCUAAGAGGUUUCAGUGGUGUUAACUGUAGUGGUAUGAGCGGGGGCCUAGCCCUAUAUUGGGAUGAAAAACUUCAGGUUACAGUGCUGGACUCUUGUCCUAGAUAUAUAGAUGUUAUGAUAGUGGAUAAUAGCAUGGACAAGACAUGGAGAGCAACUUUUGUUUAUGGGGAGCCACGUGUGGAGAAUCGUCAUUACAUGUGGGAUCACCUAACGAGAUUAAGGUCUGUUUCGCAAGAUCCUUGGCUUGUUUGUGGUGACUUUAAUGAAGUCCUUUGGCAGCAUGAGCAUCUUUCGAGAUCUACAAGGCCAGAAGGACAAAUGGCUCUUUUUAGAGAUUGUUUACAGCUUUGUGAACUAGAGGAUCUUGGUUUUUCUGGAAUGCCAUUUACAUAUGACAAUGGGCAAUAUGGAAAUAACAAUACCAAGGUGCGACUUGAUAGAGCAUGUGCUGAUGAGCGAUGGAGGGACUUGUUUCCAGCCAUUAAAGUGUUGCAUAUUACCGAAAAAGGCUUUCGCCCCGCUUUAUAA
rnacentral:rRNA from 1 species